rnacentral:rRNA from 1 species
GAUGAACGCUGGCGGCGUGCCUAAUACAUGCAAGUCGAGCGAACAGACGAGGAGCUUGCUCCUCUGACGUUAGCGGCGGACGGGUGAGUAACACGUGGAUAACCUACCUAUAAGACUGGGAUAACUUCGGGAAACCGGAGCUAAUACCGGAUAAUAUAUUGAACCGCAUGGUUCAAUAGUGAAAGACGGUGUUGCUGUCACUUAUAGAUGGAUCCGCGCCGCAUUAGCUAGUUGGGAAGGUAACGGCUUACCAAGGCAACGAUGCGUAGCCGACCUGAGAGGGUGAUCGGCCACACUGGAACUGAAACACGGUCCAGACUCCUACGGGAGGCAGCAGUAGGGAAUCUUCCGCAAUGGGCGAAAGCCUGACGGAGCAACGCCGCGUGAGUGAUGAAGGUCUUCGGAUCGUAAAACUCUGUUAUUAGGGAAGAACAAAUGUGUAAGUAACUAUGCACGUCUUGACGGUACCUAAUCAGAAAGCCACGGCUAACUACGUG